ACACCGCCUGUUGCUUCAAGCAGAUGUUGGGUGUGGGGAUCGCUACCUUCUUCUUGCUUGCUCCGUGUGUUACAAAUCGUUUAGAGCGGCAAUAUGGAGUGUUCUUGACGAGUUCUAUUUUUCCACAUUGAUGAGAAAGAACAGGAUGACAUGACAACAACAAGCCUAUUCAGUGGCAGUUUAAUCUUCUAAUUUUCACAUUUUCACUUUGGGCCUACAUUUCUUAAAAAUUGCUGAGUUUUAGUGUUGUUGUUUUUUUGUGGCUAUUUUAACAAUAAGAAUGUAUACUUUGGUCUGUAUGCCUUUGCAUUAAAACCAAAUGACCUAACAUUUAGUACGAGGGUGCGUACAUCACUAAUGAAAAAUGGUUAAAUUUGGGAUUUUGUACUAGUAUUGUGAAGACACCCAAAAAGUGACCAACUAGACGCUUUGCCACUUUCCAGCUUCUACAUGACUUAAACAAUUUCCCAGCUUAUUACAAUACAUGGCUUAAACACUUUCCCAAUUUAUCCCAAAACAACCACACCACUCAUCAGUCUCCUCUGUUAGUUUUAUUAUGUGAACCGGAUGCUCGACUGUUUCAAGGGCCUACACCGGGCAACUCCUAGGCCACAGGGGCAGCAUGUUCCCAAGUACUCUCCAAGCAGAGGACAGUUGGCUCUAGAGCCGAGGAGUGGGCCUGUGCAACAAUCUGACAUCCAGGCUAGAAAAGUGUUCACUACAAAAGUGGCUUUGUAAAAAAAUCCCACUUUCUAUGUUACUCUCUAACUACUCUCUAACAUAACUUUACUUUCUUCAACAAGAUAAGCCGAAUCAGCAAAACAAAACCGUAUGAACAUUUGGAGAGAAUACAUGUGUAAAAAA